UACGGAGGGGGCUAGCGUUGUUCGGAAUUACUGGGCGUAAAGAGCGUGUAGGCGGUCCGGUAAGUCAGCUGUGAAAGUCAAGGGCUCAACCCUUGAAUGCCGGUUGAUACUGUCGGGCUAGAGUCCGGAAGAGGCGAGUGGAAUUCCCGGUGUAGCGGUGAAAUGCGCAGAUAUCGGGAGGAACACCAAUGGCGAAGGCAGCUCGCUGGGACGUGACUGACGCUGAGACGCGAAAGCGUGGGGAG
rnacentral:rRNA from 1 species